GAUGAACGCUGGCGGCGUGCCUAAUACAUGCAAGUCGAGCGAACAGACGAGGAGCUUGCUCCUCUGACGUUAGCGGCGGACGGGUGAGUAACACGUGGAUAACCUACCUAUAAGACUGGGAUAACUUCGGGAAACCGGAGCUAAUACCGGAUAAUAUAUUGAACCGCAUGGUUCAAUAGUGAAAGACGGUUUUGCUGUCACUUAUAGAUGGAUCCGCGCCGCAUUAGCUAGUUGGUAAGGUAACGGCUUACCAAGGCAACGAUGCGUAGCCGACCUGAGAGGGUGAGCGCACACAGGAGAAGGGACACGGGCCACACACCUACGGGGGGGGCAGAAGGGGGAAAUUCACCGAAGGGGGAGAAAUUGAGGGGGAAAAGCGGCGGGAGAGAGAAAAGGGUUCGGAUCUUAAAACACUCUUUUAUGGGAAAAAAAAAAGUGUAAAAAAAACUACGCGCCUUGAGGGGGCCCAAACAGAAAGCCCCGCGUAAAACCAC
rnacentral:rRNA from 1 species